GCGCGCCGGCCGCCCGCGCGCCGGCCGCCCGUUGCCCUGGCAACCGUCGUGCCGCGUCUUCCUGAGGGAGCUCCUGUCAGCCCACUGAUCCCACCACCCGCUCCCUACUGCCCUGCGGUCUUCGCGUGGGCUCGGAGACUGAGGGACAACAAAAAUGGCGGAGGGGAGCCAGACGGCGCCUGAGGCAGUGUAUUCAUAUCAACCAGUGAAGAAAUGACAAGGAAUUCUAUAACAUUUCACUGCAAUGAUAUGGGAAAUGAUGAUGCCAUCGGAGGGAAUGUGAGCAAAUAUAUAGUGCUUCCAACUGGAUAUUGUGGACAGCCCAAGAAAGGACAUCUUCUCUUUGAUGCUUGCUUUGAAAGUGGUAAGUAUAUUAAAGGCUUUUCCUUUUAAGUUUAUCUGGUAAGACAUUUUUUUUUUCAGAAUUG
rnacentral:lncRNA from 1 species